UGGGGAAUAUUGGACAAUGGGCGAAAGCCUGAUCCAGCAAUGCCGCGUGUGUGAAGAAGGCCUUCGGGUUGUAAAGCACUUUCAGUGGGGAGAAAGGGGUGAGUACUAAUACUAUUCAUCAUUGAUGUUACCCACAGAAGAAGCACCGGCUAACUCUGUGCCAGCAGCCGCGGUAAUACAGAGGGUGCAAGCGUUAAUCGGAAUGACUGGGCGUAAAGCGUGUGUAGGUGGUUGGAUAAGUUAGAUGUGAAAUCCCCGGGCUUAACCUGGGAACUGCGUUUAAGACUGUUCAACUAGAGUACUGUAGAGGAUAGUGGAAUUUCCAGUGUAGCGGUGAAAUGCGUAGAUAUUGGAAGGAACACCAGUGGCGAAGGCGACUAUCUGGAUAGAUACUGACACU
rnacentral:rRNA from 1 species